rnacentral:rRNA from 1 species
CCUACGGGCGGCAGCAGUGAGGAAUAUUGGUCAAUGGACGAGAGUCUGAACCAGCCAAGUAGCGUGAAGGAUGACUGCCCUAUGGGUUGUAAACUUCUUUUAUAUGGGAAUAAAACGUUCCACGUGUGGGAUUUUGUAUGUACCAUAUGAAUAAGGAUCGGCUAACUCCGUGCCAGCAGCCGCGGUAAUACGGAGGAUCCGAGCGUUAUCCGGAUUUAUUGGGUUUAAAGGGAGCGUAGGUGGAUUGUUAAGUCAGUUGUGAAAGUUUGUGGCUCAACCGUAAAAUUGCAGUUGAAACUGGCAGUCUUGAGUACAGUAGAGGUGGGCGGAAUUCGUGGUGUAGCGGUGAAAUGCUUAGAUAUCACGAAGAACUCCGAUUGCGAAGGCAGUUCACUGGACUGCAACUGACACUGAGGCUCGAAAGUGUGGGUAUCAAACAGGAUUAGAUACCCUGGUAGUC